CCUAGUGUGGACGCCGUGGGGACUCUUGCACCAUUGGGGAAACCCUGAUGCAGCGACGCCGCGUGAGCGCUUCCUUCUUUCUUUCUUUCCCUCUCUCUCCUCCUUUCCUCCCCUUACGGUACCUGACUAAGAAGCCCCGGCUAACUACGUGCCAGCAGCCGCGGUAAUACGUAGGGGGCAAUCGUUAUCCGGAUUUACUGGGUGUAAAGGGAGCGUAGACGGCGGUGCAAGUCAGAUGUGAAAGCCCGGGGCUCAACCCCGGGACGGAAGUUGGAACUGUGCUGCUAGAGUGUCGGAGAGGCAGGCGGAAUUCCUAGUGUAGCGGUGAAAUGCGUAGAUAUUAGGAGGAACACCAGUGGCGAAGGCGGCCUGCUGGACGAUGACUGACGUUGAGGCUCGAAAGCGUGGGGAGCAAACAGGAUUAGAGAAAAAAGUAGUC
rnacentral:rRNA from 1 species